rnacentral:rRNA from 1 species
CUGGCGGCGUGCUUAACACAUGCAAGUCGAACGGAGUUAAGGGGCUUGCUCCUAACUAGUGGCGGACGGGUGAGUAACGCGUGGGUAACCUGCCUUUCACUGGGGGAUAACAGUUAGAAAUGACUGCUAAUACCGCAUAAGCGCACAGGAUCGCAUGAUCUAGUGUGAAAAACUCCGGUGGUGAAAGAUGGACCCGCGUCUGAUUAGCCAGUUGGCAGGGUAACGGCCUACCAAAGCGACGAUCAGUAGCCGGCCUGAGAGGGUGAACGGCCACAUUGGGACUGAGACACGGCCCAAACUCCUACGGGAGGCAGCAGUGGGGAAUAUUGCACAAUGGGGGAAACCCUGAUGCAAGCGACGCCGCGUGAGUGAAGAAGUAUUUCGGUAUGUAAAGCUCUAUCAGCAGGGAAGAAAAUGACGGUACCUGACUAAGAAGCCCCGGCUAACUACGUGCCAGCAGCAGC